UUUCUCCUCUGCGUCGGCUCUUCAGCAGGCUUAACCCAGAGAAGGAAAACUUCAGGGUAGAAGAAACUUUGGAAGGAACUGGAGCUUGGGAGGGCUUCCCGGAGGAGGGAGCAUCGGAACUGCCCUGUGGAGGAUGGAGGAGGCUGUGCAGGUGUGGGAACUGGACACAGGCCAGAAAGACCCCUACUGAGACAGGAGGCCAGUGCAGCAUGGCAUUCAUUGGAU
rnacentral:lncRNA from 1 species